rnacentral:lncRNA from 1 species
CGGGAGUCGAGUGUCGGGCAAAGCUGACACGGAAUUCGGAUCUGUGCCCUUUCCAAUUCUCUCCCCAGCUAAGCGGUACCACUUAACCUAAAAUUUCUUGAGUAAAUAGUAAGAUGAGCCUUGUUGCGAAGCCCUCUUAAGACAUGAAGACCUUGGUAAUUAGCAGUGAGAAAUACCAGACUUCUAGGUAACAUUUCAGUGAGUUUGGGAGACGAAAAUCUUAUUUGAAAAAUGAUUCCUCAAAACUUACAAGAUAAUUGGUACUAGAUAGUCUGUUCAUCCCUUUUAAAAUAUAGCAGCAGAUUUUCAAGACUUUAACUCUCUUGGAUUUUCAAGUAUGAGUUUAGGAAAAGCCCUUUCCUUCCAAAACCAAUUAUAUUUGUCUUUUAUUUAUAGCCAGCUGCUGUGUGUUAUCAUUCAGCCUAAUUUUUCUUAAAGAUCUCUAAUUUUAGUUGCAGUUUAAUAUAUAGUAAAAUAUUUCAGUGUUAUUUGUACUGCAGAGAGAAUGAGGUUAAUUUACUAAAACCCAAGGGGAUGGUUGCAAAGCACAAAACUCUUAUUAGUGGUUAAUUUUUCAUGACAGUUCUUUCUCUAUAAAAACAACAGAAUUUUGUUGCACUCCAUUGUGACUGUUGGUUUUUUUUUCCUUUCCCCGUUCAUCAACAAGUGCCUGUCCUGCUCAUCAUUCUUUGCACUAAUAAUGUAUAUGGCUGAUCUGGCAGACAGCAGUGAUCUCAUUUGUAACGCAUCACGGUAGGACCCAUUUGGCAGAUUACUUGGAGAUUACUUUAGCGGAAUGAAAACAUUGCUGUAUCCUUUAUGAAGAAAGCCAUAUGUUUCAGCGAUGUUGCAAUCAAUUCCCCUCUGAUAAGGUGGGCUCAUCCACUGUUUCCCUCUGUGAAGGAGUCUUCAGUGGCUUGUUGGUACUUUUUUUCAUUCUACCUUUUCUCUCCAUGUAGCUCUUUGUUUUUUCCCCAAGCUCUCUGUUCUUCAUUUUGUCCCUAUUUUUUUUUUAAAGGUCAUUCUACUAUAUUCAUAUGUCUUAAGAUUUGGCAAACAGAUUCUUCCAGGGGUGAUGGAGGUGAUUAUGUGUGUGGGGUGAUCAGAAGGCAGUUCGUGAAACCGACUCUUCUGGGAAUGGGUUUGCUUCGACAAACUAUUCGCACAGUAUUUUUCCAGCUAUGCUGUUCCUUGGAAAAUGACCCAUUUGAAUUUCAUCUGUGGCUUUUAAAAGAUAAUAAAAUAAAUGUAAUUGAGGUCUUCCCAGUUCCUAAGCAUCUUGCUAGUAAAUGAUGGUCUUUAGAGGUUGAUUACUGACUUCAGCUAUGAAACUGACUUUUGGAAUAACGUGUGUAGCUGAAAUUUUUCAGAGACCCCCCCCCCCCCGCCUUCUUUCAGGAAGAAUUAAGCAACUGUAAAUUAAGAACACUAGAAUAAAUUGGCAAUUAGAGGGAUGAGGGUAUAGUUACUUUCUUUUUCUUUUUAUCGUCUAGGAUGGUUGGUGUAUUUUUUUCACUUACACUAUUUCAUGUUGUCAAAAAAUUACAGCUGAGGGAUCCAUUUUUACCCCAAUUAUAAAGUAAUACGCUGUGCUUUUAGGUAUGCCUUAAAGAAAUCACAUAAUUUAUUAACUAAAGGAGGCAUUAAGGGAUAUGUCCAAAUGCUAAUAAACAUUUUAUCUAUGGUUUAUUCAUUUUUUCAUACAUUAAUCUUGAAUCAAAUUUAAAAAAGGAGUGUAGAACAGUUUGAUAAGAAAUUUACAAAUAAUAAAAUAGUGGUACUGGUGAUUAGGAGGCAACAUAGGAAACUAAUAUUUUGACAUCAAAUACAGUGAGAAAAAAAUGCAGAUCUUAAUUAUGAGUUGGGAAUUCACUUUUUUUCCUUUAUAAUCUUAUGUAUUUGAGAUUAAAAAGCUGGACGUUGAUGGGCUGAAAAUAUCUAAACUGCUUUAAAGCUUGGAAAAGUCAACCACCUCCGUUUUCCCCUGUAUUAUUAACUCAAAUGGCAGAUUCUUCUUGUAAGAUUAAACUGUCGCUUUUGGUAGAGGUAGAUGAUAUAUCUUGUGUCAUGUCUGUGGAAUAUGGAAGUUCCUGGGCCAGGGAUUAAAUUGGAGCUGCAAGAGUUCCCGUCAUGGCGCAGUGGUUAACGAAUCCGACUAGGAACCAUGAGGUUGCGGGUUCGGUCCCUGCCCUUGCUCAGUGGGUUAACGAUCCGGUGUUGCCGUGAGCUGUGGUGUAGGUCACAGAUGCGGCUCAGAUCUUGCGUUGCUGUGGCUCUGGCGUAGGCUGGCAGCUAUAGCUCCGAUUGGACCCCUAGUCUGGGAACCUCCAUAUGCCGCGAGAGCGGCCCACGAAAUAGCAAAAAG